UGUUAGAAAUCCAUUUGCCUGUGACAUUCUUAUUACCCAUCUAAUAUACCAACAUAAACAAGUGCCCACACCCGCUCGCUCUCAUCCAUUUUUCUACGAUUUAUUAGAAAUCCAAUACGCUGUCCCCUCUCUCUCCCUCUCUCAAUCUUACAAGCCGAAAUCGCCAAAUGGGUAUUUCGAUACCACAAUCUGGAAAAAUAGGUGUACUGUGUGAGAGGAUGCUCUUGAUUGAACUGGUAAUCAAACUGCAGCUUCAAUCUACAAGGAAGCUUGAGCAAUUUCUAGAGCCUCUUCAACCGACGAUGCAUUUUGAAGUUUGGCUAUGUCAACAGAGGGCUGGCUUCGUGCAAGUUUUGGAAGCAGUUGGAAUUCCUCAGGACUCCCACUUUCAAGAAGAACCCCCUUCAGCUUACCAGAGUCGAUCCAAAAUGUUGCAACCUUUGGAUCAAAAUUCCCAACUUCAACGGCCUCCCCAACAUUGUCACCAAAGAAUUGCCACCAUACUUUCCUAGAGCUUCCUUCAUAUUCAAAAACCCUUGAGUAGAAGUAUGGUAAAUAGUCAUACGUGUGCGUGUGUGCAGUUAGCAAUGAUUUAAUACAAUGCUGUGCAGAUUUACGAGCAUGGUCAACGUGCUCCACCCGUGCAAUUCGGUUGUAUAUCUUCAAUGGAAAUGCGGCAACAUCUCCAAUGGCAAAGAUUCCAGGUAUGUUUGUUCGGAACUGUCCGUCAACCUCUAUUCCACCGACAGUGUUGUUUAAGCCAACCAUGUCAAAUGGACUGACGGCAGGUUUUGCUCCAAUACCAAUAACAACCGUGUCUGUCUCUAUACUUGAUCCAUCUUCAAGCUUAACUGCAGUUACCCGGCUAUCUGGACCAGAUUCUAGAUGUUUUAUCUUAGCACCCUUGACGAAUUUGACACCACUGUCUUGGUAGAGUUGUUCAUACUUUUGGGCAAGAGAAGGAGUGAACAGUCUUGAUAAGAGAUGCUCUUCUGGAAAAAUUAUAGUUGUAUCAAGUUUCCAGGCUACGGCAGCUGCAGCAACUUCCAUUCCUAUAUAACCACCACCAACAACUACAAGUUUUUUUGCUUUCCCCAGUGAGGAUAUUAAUGAAUCAGCAUCUGCCACAUCCCGAAUAUAGUGAACCCCAGGUAAAUUUCCUCCGAUCUUCUCAGGAAAUCUGGAUGCCGUACAUCCGGUUGCAAUAAUAAGGGUGCCAUACUUGAGCAGCUUUCCUGAAUUUGUUGUCAGAGUUUGCUUUUCUAUAUCAAUUCCUGUUACUGGAUCUUCAUACAACAUCUCUAUCCCUUGUUCCUUGUACCAAUCAGGUGUUUGCCUCUCACCACCAGCGCCAACACAAGUAUGAAAGCCCGGUAAACGUGCUGGCUUUUUGUCCAGAGGAAACAAGUAUGCUUUGGUCAAUGCUGGACGUUCAUAUGGUGCAUAUGGCUCUUUGGUCACAAUGCAUAACUUUCCAUUAGCUUGUCCAUGCUCAACAAAAGUUCUAGCAGCAUAUCCAGCUGCAUUUCCUCCUCCAACUA
rnacentral:misc_RNA from 1 species